GGGUUGUGAGGUUAAGCGACUAAGCGUACACGGUGGAUGCCCUGGCAGUCAGAGGCGAUGAAGGGCGUGCUAAUCUGCGAUAAGCGCCGGUAAGGUGAUAUGAACCGUUAUAACCGGCGAUACCCGAAUGGGGAAACCCAGUGUGAUUCGUCACACUAUCAUUAACUGAAUCCAUAGGUUAAUGAGGCGAACCGGGGGAACUGAAACAUCUAAGUACCCCGAGGAAAAGAAAUCAACCGAGAUUCCCCCAGUAGCGGCGAGCGAACGGGGAGGAGCCCAGAGCCUGAAUCAGCAUGUGUGUUAGUGGAAGCGUCUGGAAAGGCGCGCGAUACAGGGUGACAGCCCCGUACACAAAAGCGCAUGUGCUGUGAGCUCGAUGAGUAGGGCGGGACACGUGGUAUCCUGUCUGAAUAUGGGGGGACCAUCCUCCAAGGCUAAAUACUCCUGACUGACCGAUAGUGAACCAGUACCGUGAGGGAAAGGCGAAAAGAACCCCGGCGAGGGGAGUGAAAAAGAACCUGAAACCGUGUACGUACAAGCAGUGGGAGCACAGGUUUACCUGUGUGACUGCGUACCUUUUGUAUAAUGGGUCAGCGACUUAUAUUCUGUAGCAAGGUUAACCGA
rnacentral:rRNA from 1 species